AUAAGCAGAGGGAGAAGCAGGCUCCCUGCAGGGAGCCUGAUGUGGGACUCGAUCCCAGGACCGCCAGAUCACGCCCUGAGCUGAAAGCAGACGCUCAACCACUGAGCCAUCCAGGCGUCCCUUGUCGAGGCUUUUAAAUGUAGUGGAGUAUGGAGGUUAAGACCAUGGGCCCUGUGUUUGAAGUGCCUCCGGAAGGUGACUCUGUCUCUCAGUCUUUCUCGGCAAAACUCUCAGAGUUUGUAAGCAUUGAAGGAGAAAUGCAUGUGAAAACCAUAAAGGGCGGCCACCAUGCAAGAAAGCUGACUACUUUGGGGCCACCAUACUGUGAAGAAGCCCAAGCCAGCCACUUGAAGAGCCUACAUAGGAAUCAUGAAGACAUCUGACAAGUAAGUAAAGUCUUCUUGGACUGUCCAGCU